UUACGGCCAUGUCACGUUGAAAUACCGCUUCCCUUAUGGUCCCCGAAGUUAACCAAUGUCGAGCCUGGUCAGUAUUUAGAUGGGCGACCUCUCAGGAAUAAUAUGUGCU